GCCUGGUGAAGGACGUCUGUCGUGGGGUAGUUGGAGCUUGACUCUGAAGUGAUCAUCACACUCACUGCCACUUCACGUAGAAUACUGCUACCACAAACUACCAGCGUUUGUACCAUAUAUACCAGAUGACUACAUCUGUUUUACCACAUGUUGAAGCAAGACUUCCGCUGUUUGUUCCAGACCAGGACUCUGGCUGAGGAGAGCUGAUGGAGGAGCUGACACGCUGGAGGACGACUAGGAAUCGACCAACAAGGAUUCCUCAACGUGUUUCUGGAGCGGAGGCGAGCUGGUAGGGGAGCCGUGAAUCUGGAGGAUGACCAUCACUCUACCAACAAGGAUUACGUUGGGGCCAGACUCACGCUGUUUGUUCCAGACCAGGACUCUGGCUGAGGUGAGCUGAUGGAGGAGUUGAGACGCUGGAGGACGACUAGGAAUCGACCAACAAGG